rnacentral:tRNA from 3 species
CGGAGUGUAGCGCAGCCUGGUUAGCGCACCUGUCUGGGGGACAGGGGGUCGUGGGUUCGAAUCCCGCCACUCCGACCA